AGUGAACGCUGGCGGUAGGCCUAACACAUGCAAGUCGAACGGCAGCACAGUAAGAGCUUGCUCUUACGGGUGGCGAGUGGCGGACGGGUGAGGAAUACAUCGGAAUCUACUUUUUCGUGGGGGAUAACGUAGGGAAACUUACGCUAAUACCGCAUACGACCUACGGGUGAAAGCAGGGGAUCUUCGGACCUUGCGCGAUUGAAUGAGCCGAUGUCGGAUUAGCUAGUUGGCGGGGUAAAGGCCCACCAAGGCGACGAUCCGUAGCUGGUCUGAGAGGAUGUUCAGCCAAACUGGAACUGAGGCACGGUCCAGGCUCCUACGGGAGGCAGCAGUGGGGAAUAUUGGACAAUGGGCGCAAGCCUGAUCCAGCCAUACCGCGUGGGUGAAGAAGGCCUUCGGGUUGUAAAGCCCUUUUGUUGGGAAAGAAAAGCAGCAGGUUAAGACCCCGCUGUUCUGACGGUACCCAAAGAAUAAGCACCGGCUAACUUCGU
rnacentral:rRNA from 1 species